AGCUUCGUGGCUGAAUAGUAAGGACACUUGCUUCUCACCCUGGAGUCACGGGUUCGAUCCCCGGUCGAGGAACUA